rnacentral:rRNA from 1 species
UACGAAGGGGGCUAGCGUUGCUCGGAAUUACUGGGCGUAAAGGGCGCGUAGGCGGACAGUUUAGUCAGAGGUGAAAGCCCAGGGCUCAACCCCGGAAUUGCCUUUGAUACUGGCUGUCUUGAGUUCGGGAGAGGUGAGUGGAAUGCCGAGUGUAGAGGUGAAAUUCGUAGAUAUUCGGCGGAACACCAGUGGCGAAGGCGACUCACUGGACCGGCAUUGACGCUGAGGAGCGAAAGCCAGGGGAGCAAACGGG